GGUUAAGCGACUAAGCGUACACGGUGGAUGCCCUGGCAGUCAGAGGCGAUGAAGGACGUGCUAAUCUGCGAAAAGCGUCGGUAAGGUGAUAUGAACCGUUACAGCCGGCGAUGUCCGAAUGGGGAAACCCAGUGCAAUUCGUUGCACUAUCGUUAACUGAAUACAUAGGUUAACGAGGCGAACCGGGGGAACUGAAACAUCUAAGUACCCCGAGGAAAAGAAAUCAACCGAGAUUCCCCCAGUAGCGGCGAGCGAACGGGGAGCAGCCCAGAGUCUGAAUCAGCUUGUGUGUUAGUGGAACGGUCUGGAAAGUCCGACGGUACAGGGUGAUAGUCCCGUACACCAAAAUGCACAGGUUGUGAACUCGAAGAGUAGGGCGGGACACGUGGUAUCCUGUCUGAAUAUGGGGGGACCAUCCUCCAAGGCUAAAUACUCCUGACUGACCGAUAGUGAACCAGUACCGUGAGGGAAAGGCGAAAAGAACCCCGGCGAGGGGAGUGAAAAAGAACCUGAAACCGUGUACGUACAAGCAGUGGGAGCACCUUCGGGUGUGACUGCGUACCUUUUGUAUAAUGGGUCAGCGACUUAUAUUCUGUAGCAAGGUUAACCGUAUAGGGGAGCCGCAGGGAAACCGAGUCUUAACUGGGCGUUAAGUUGCAGGGUAUAGACCCGAAACCCGGUGAUCUAGCCAUGGGCAGGUUGAAGGUUGGGUAACACUAACUGGAGGACCGAACCGACUAAUGUUGAAAAAUUAGCGGAUGACUUGUGGCUGGGGGUGAAAGGCCAAUCAAACCGGGAGAUAGCUGGUUCUCCCCGAAAGCUAUUUAGGUAGCGCCUCGUGAACUCAUCUUCGGGGGUAGAGCACUGUUUCGGCUAGGGGGUCAUCCCGACUUACCAACCCGAUGCAAACUACGAAUACCGAAGAAUGUUAUCACGGGAGACACACGGCGGGUGCUAACGUCCGUCGUGAAGAGGGAAACAACCCAGACCGCCAGCUAAGGUCCCAAAGUCAUGGUUAAGUGGGAAACGAUGUGGGAAGGCACAGACAGCCAGGAUGUUGGCUUAGAAGCAGCCAUCAUUUAAAGAAAGCGUAAUAGCUCACUGGUCGAGUCGGCCUGCGCGGAAGAUGUAACGGGGCUAAACCAUGCACCGAAGCUGCGGCAGCGACACUAUGUGUUGUUGGGUAGGGGAGCGUUCUGUAAGCCUGCGAAGGUGACCUGUGAGGGUUGCUGGAGGUAUCAGAAGUGCGAAUGCUGACAUAAGUAACGAUAAAGCGGGUGAAAAGCCCGCUCGCCGGAAGACCAAGGGUUCCUGUCCAACGUUAAUCGGGGCAGGGUGAGUCGACCCCUAAGGCGAGGCCGAAAGGCGUAGUCGAUGGGAAACAGGUUAAUAUUCCUGUACUUGGUGUUACUGCGAAGGGGGACGGAGAAGGCUAUGUUAGCCGGGCGACGGUUGUCCCGGUUUAAGCAUGUAGGCUGGUUAUCCAGGCAAAUCCGGAUAAUCAAGGCUGAGGUGUGAUGACGAGGCACUACGGUGCUGAAGUAACAAAUGCCCUGCUUCCAGGAAAAGCCUCUAAGCAUCAGGUAACAUCAAAUCGUACCCCAAACCGACACAGGUGGUCAGGUAGAGAAUACCAAGGCGCUUGAGAGAACUCGGGUGAAGGAACUAGGCAAAAUGGUGCCGUAACUUCGGGAGAAGGCACGCUGGUGUGUAGGUGAAGCCCCUGCGGGUGGAGCUGAGACCAGUCGAAGAUACCAGCUGGCUGCAACUGUUUAUUAAAAACACAGCACUGUGCAAACACGAAAGUGGACGUAUACGGUGUGACGCCUGCCCGGUGCCGGAAGGUUAAUUGAUGGGGUUAUCCGUAAGGAGAAGCUCUUGAUCGAAGCCCCGGUAAACGGCGGCCGUAACUAUAACGGUCCUAAGGUAGCGAAAUUCCUUGUCGGGUAAGUUCCGACCUGCACGAAUGGCGUAAUGAUGGCCAGGCUGUCUCCACCCGAGACUCAGUGAAAUUGAACUCGCUGUGAAGAUGCAGUGUACCCGCGGCAAGACGGAAAGACCCCGUGAACCUUUACUAUAGCUUGACACUGAACAUUGAGCCUUGAUGUGUAGGAUAGGUGGGAGGCUUUGAAGCGUGGACGCCAGUCUGCGUGGAGCCAACCUUGAAAUACCACCCUUUAAUGUUUGAUGUUCUAACGUUGGCCCCUUACCGGGGUUGCGGACAGUGUCUGGUGGGUAGUUUGACUGGGGCGGUCUCCUCCCAAAGCGUAACGGAGGAGCACGAAGGUUAGCUAAUCCUGGUCGGACAUCAGGAGGUUAGUGCAAUGGCAUAAGCUAGCUUGACUGCGAGCGUGACGGCGCGAGCAGGUGCGAAAGCAGGUCAUAGUGAUCCGGUGGUUCUGAAUGGAAGGGCCAUCGCUCAACGGAUAAAAGGUACUCCGGGGAUAACAGGCUGAUACCGCCCAAGAGUUCAUAUCGACGGCGGUGUUUGGCACCUCGAUGUCGGCUCAUCACAUCCUGGGGCUGAAGUAGGUCCCAAGGGUAUGGCUGUUCGCCAUUUAAAGUGGUACGCGAGCUGGGUUUAGAACGUCGUGAGACAGUUCGGUCCCUAUCUGCCGUGGGCGCUGGAGAAUUGAGGGGGGCUGCUCCUAGUACGAGAGGACCGGAGUGGACGCAUCACUGGUGUUCGGGUUGUCAUGCCAAUGGCACUGCCCGGUAGCUAAAUGCGGAAGAGAUAAGUGCUGAAAGCAUCUAAGCACGAAACUUGCCCCGAGAUGAGUUCUCCCUGAGACUUUAAGUCUCCUGAAGGAACGUUAAAGACGAUGACGUUGAUAGGCCGGGUGUGUAAGCGCAGCGAUGCGUUGAGCUAACCGGUACUAAUGAACCGUGAGGCUUAACCUU
rnacentral:rRNA from 1 species